rnacentral:rRNA from 1 species
ACGUGGGCAAUCUGCCGAGAAGUGGGGGAUAGCUCGCCGAAAGGCGAAUUAAUACCGCAUAUGAUCAGGGACGACAUCUUCCCAACAUCAAAGCCGGGGUAACCUGGCGCUUCUUGAUGAGCCCGCGGCCUAUCAGCUAGUUGGUGAGGUAACGGCUCACCAAGGCUAUGACGGGUAGCUGGUCUGAGAGGACGACCAGUCACACUGGAACUGAGACACGGUCCAGACACCUACGGGUGGCAGCAGUCGAGAAUUUUUCUCAAUGGGGGAAACCCUGAAGGAGCGACGCCGCGUGGAGGA